GUGCCCUAUGAAAGCUAUGAAGGCACAGUCAUUACUCCCAUUUCACAGAUGAGGACACAGAGGCACAGAACAGUGAACUGACCUGCUGGAAGACACCCAACUGGCAAAGACAGAUCUUAAAUCCAGAUUUGGAAACUGAAUCCCCAGAAGGGAAGGCGACUUGCCCAAGAGCACACAGAGACAGUGCCUAAAGGACUUCUGACCAUCAGUCCACAGCUUGUUCCACUCGACACAGAGUCCAAGAAUACUGACCUUGUAUUAAUAAAAACACUCUUCCCAUCCUCCAAACACCCACAGGAAGACUUGAACGCUCUAUGAUUCCAAGUAUUCUCCAAAAGAUGUCUUUCCUUUCUAUCAAAAUUGCAAGCAUUUCAAGGGAAAAGUCUGUGCUUGACUACCUUAUCAUCGUCAUUGUAUGCCCAGCACUAUGCUUCAGGCUCUUGAGGGCAGAAAUUAUUGCCUAACACCUCGGAUUGUUAGGGGCAGAUGCUCAAUAAAUAGGACUAAUUAAUACACCCCCACUUUUAAAAAAGAGGAAUAAGGUAGUGGAGAAAAGAGAAUAUAUAUUAAGAAAUCAA